CCUACGGGGGGCAGCAGUGAGGAAUAUUGGUCAAUGGGCGAGAGCCUGAACCAGCCAAGUCACGUGAGGGAAGACGGUCCUAUGGAUUGUAAACCUCUUUUGUCGGGGAGCAAAAGACGGCACGUGUACCGUUCCGAGAGUACCCGAAGAAAAAGCAUCGGCUAACUCCGUGCCAGUAGCCGCGGUAAUACGGAGGAUGCGAGCGUUAUCCGGAUUUAUUGGGUUUAAAGGGUGCGCAGGCGGCAGGUCAAGUCAGCGGUAAAAUUGAGGGGCUCAACCUCUACGAGCCGUUGAAACUGGUUUUC
rnacentral:rRNA from 1 species